UACAGAGGUCUCAAGCGUUGUUCGGAUUCAUUGGGCGUAAAGGGUGCGUAGGCGGCGCGGUAAGUCGGGUGUGAAAUCUCGGAGCUUAACUCCGAAAUUGCAUUCGAUACUGCCGUGCUUGAGGACUGGAGAGGAGACUGGAAUUUACGGUGUAGCGGUGAAAUGCGUAGAUAUCGUAAGGAAGACCAGUGGCGAAGGCGGGUCUCUGGACAGUUCCUGACGCUGAGGCACGAAGGUCAGGGGAGCAAACGGG
rnacentral:rRNA from 1 species